AUAUGUAAAGCAAUCCUGCAAUUAGUUUCGACCUAAAAGAAUUGAUUUUUAAAAAAUCUAUGUA
rnacentral:tRNA from 1 species